rnacentral:lncRNA from 1 species
CCAUCUCAAAAUUGCUACAUGUAAUAUACCCCAUCUUAAUAUCUUUAGUUGAAUACAUAAUUUUGAAGAGACAAAUAAUUGUAAUGCACGUCAAAAGAUUUGGAGUUUGUUUAUUAAAUUACAAGAAUAAUUACUAAAAAAUCUCUAUGGGGGCUCAUGCUCGUCCAUAGAAAUUUAAUGUGCAUCACAAGUACUAUAGCCU